GCUGGGCACAGUAGUGCAUGCCUGUAAUCCCAGUGGCUUGGGAGGCUGAGACAGGAGGAUCAAGAGUUCAAAGCCAGCCUCAGCACCAAAGAGGCACUAAGCAACUCAGUGAGACCCUGUCUCUA
rnacentral:sRNA from 1 species